UACAGAGGUCCCAAGCGUUGUUCGGAUUCACUGGGCGUAAAGGGUGCGUAGGUGGUGAGGUAAGUCGGAUGUGAAAUCUCCGAGCUCAACUCGGAAAUGGCAUUGGAAACUACCUUGCUAGAGGGUUGGAGGGGGACUGGAAUGCUUGGUGUAGCAGUGAAAUGCGUAGAUAUCAAGCGGAACACCAGUGGCGAAGGCGAGUCCCUGGACAACUCCUGACACUGAGGCACGAAAGCUAGGGGAGCAAACGGG
rnacentral:rRNA from 1 species